GUUUUGGUGCAAAAAGACGAUUCUGCCCUCAUUUGUUUUAACCUAAAAAAUCUCUUCUUCACCAAUCUCUCUCUCGACGGCGAAAACCCGACUCAUCUCUCUCUGGACUCCGACUUCGACUCCAUCUCCUCUCUCUCUCGACGGCGACGGUGACUCCGACUCCGACUAAUUUCUCUCUCGACGGCGAUCCAUUGAUGUUGAUUUCUGAGAACCCUAGUUUACAAUUCAUCCCGUCGCCGACUAUCUCUGCGUUUCUUCAAGCCCCUGAACUUAUUGUUCUCCGUCGUGAUUCAUUGUGCUUGGUCGUGGUGUACUGAGAUUUGGUGUGCUAUGCCGAGAUGAAUUGUGCUCUACUCAGUUCGACGUGGUCCGGUAACUCACUUUCAGCAUCACUUCAAACUUAGCACACAAAUUCGCUUCACUCUAUCAAAUCACGGCCUAGAUUCUCCUAUAACAGUGAGAUGGUGGAAUUGGUACUUUUAUAUACUUUUAGUUUGGAUAUAAUCAGAUUUGAAUGUUAUAGACAAGUGAGGUUUAGUGAAGGUAUCAUAUUUAAGAGAUCGGCUUCAGUAUGGCCAACAUCUCUAAUACGGUCUGCAUUUGUUAGUUUGCUGCAUAUUUCUAUGAUUUUAUAAAAGGAUGUUUGUUAGUGAAGAUGUUUUGCAUCUGCACUCGAAAUCAAAUGGAAAAGAUAAGACAUGUUUUUAGGUGGUGGAGUUGAAUGUGUGUGAUUUCCAAUAUGAUUAGUUCAUAGCAAACAGUUUGUGAAUUUGCAAGCAAAAGAAAGGUUGUUGUCUUUAGAUAGGGAAGAACCAUCUCAGUCUGAGACAUUUGUAGCAAGGGUACGAAUCUCCAGCUGCAAGACACUAACAAGCUACUGAGGAUUACUGUUGGAUAUUAGAAUUUUGGAUUUAUUCAAGAAGCUUCGAGCUCUGUUUUUAGUCUUCGACCAAGAGGAGUGGAGACAUGUAAGAGCCAGCCUUGAGUACACUGGUGGAGAAGUAAGAAGUGCUCGUAGAAAGCGGUAUAUGUAACGAUAGUUUUAGACUACGAAACAAACUCAUGUGAUAAGAAAAUUGGUGCUUAAGCUGAAAAAAUGCUUCUUUGUUUGUCAUCUAGUUAUUAUGUGGUUAGUUACUUUGUAACUGGCCUUUUACGUAAAAUGUGUGUGACCUUUUUUUUUUAGUUUGUUAAAGGGCUUACGAUUAAAGUGUGUAUGGAUUUACAACAUUUUUAUAAGAAGAAACUAAGGAUA